AUAAUAACCACAGACAUGAUUUUCUACCUUAAAAGUUUACUUUUUCUUCUUCAUAAAUCCGUUUCUUCUCGCACAAUUUAACUUAAAAUAAAGAAAUAUCGUGAAAAUAACACCUAAAUCCGGACUGAUCAAUAAUAAUAUAAAUCAUGUUUCAGAUGCGUUGCCAUCCAUUAACCACAACAAUCAUAAUUAUGAAUUUCCGUUUUUUUUUUUUUUUUUUGCUUUUUGCUUUUUUAAUCAAACGAAAGGUAAAGAAAAACGGAUUCAUAAUUACCUAUCCUUCCAGAUGAAUACAUGGUAAAAAAGAAACCAAAUUAACGAGAGUUGUAUGAUUUAUAGCAUGGUCAGAAAUCUAUUAUUACAAACGCUUAUUUUCAGAUAAUCUUUUGCAAAAGAAAUAAUAUUGAAUCCCUCCAUAUGUCACCAAAAUCGGAUAAUCACAGUUGAUUGCAAUACACCAGACUACAGGUGUAGUGUAGUGUAGUGACACUAGACUACAUGUGUAGUGUAGUGACAAUAGACUACAGGUGUAGUGUAGUGUAGUGACAAUAGACUACAGGUGAAGUGUAUUGUAGUGACAAUAGACUACAGGUGUAGUGUAGUGUAGUGACAAUAGACUACAGGUGUAGUGUAGUGUAGUGACACUAGACUACAUGUGUAGUGUAGUGACAAUAGACUACAGGUGUAGUGUAGUGUAGAGUAGUGAUACUAGACUGCAUAUGUAGUGUAGUGACA